CCUCUCCGUCUCUCUCAAAAGCUUUUUUUUGGGUUGAUAUAUCAGAUUCUGUUCGAUCUUGAAAAAAGAGGACACAAACAAUGCCUCGAGCGUCGAAGAGAAAAUCAAAACCCCUCAAAUCAUCUAAACUCGAUGGUGUUCGUUCUGCUUCAAACAAAGCUACAAUGAAGAAGGGGGAACCUAUAGAUGAUCAUUUCCAUUCAUAUGCAAAUAGGUCAUUGGGCAUGAUUGAUCCGGAAGGAAUAGAGGCACUUUGUUCAAUUUGAGAGUGGAUCAUACCGACGUCAGGAUAUUGAUGCUCGCUUGGUAU